rnacentral:rRNA from 1 species
GACGAACGCUGGCGGCGUGCUUAACACAUGCAAGUCGAACGAUGAAACCGGAGCUUGCUCCGGUGGAUUAGUGGCGAACGGGUGAGUAACACGUGAGUAACCUGCCCUUGACUCUGGGAUAACUGCGGGAAACUGUAGCUAAUACCGGAUACGACCCUCGGAGGCAUCUCCUGGGGGUGGAAAGAAUUUCGGUCAAGGAUGGACUCGCGGCCUAUCAGCUAGUUGGUGAGGUAACGGCUCACCAAGGCGACGACGGGUAGCCGGCCUGAGAGGGUGACCGGCCACACGGGGACUGAGAGACGGCCCAGACUCCUACGUGAGGCAGCAGUGGGGGAUAUUGCACAAUGGGCGCAAGCCUGAUGCAGCAACGCCGCGUGAGGGAUGACGGCCUUCGGGUUGUAAACCUCUUAUAGCAGGGAAGAAGCGAAAGUGACGGUACCUGCAGAAAAAGCACCGGCUAACUACGUGCCAGCCGCCGCCGUAA